ACUGCUCCAUCCGGGAACUUCCCAAUUAGAAUUGACAGCCGAAGCGCAACUUUUCCCCAUGCAAAGUGAAAUCAAGCCGCGCACUCGGACAAAAUAUAGUCCCCGCUAUUCAACAAAAAAAUAUCGAAAGAAAAAUAAAUCGACCGUUUGGAGAGGAUGCGUCGACACGGCGUUAUUUUUUGGAGUGGAUCUGUCCAGGUACUGAAACCUUUCCGCCGUGUUUGGAGCACUUUGCUCAGCGGCGUAAAGUGAGUGAUGAGCCCUCUACACAGCAAAGAAGCGAGAACUUGCUUUGCAGCCUGAGUAGUUCUUCUUUCGAUUGUUAUUGUCGCUUUAAAAAAAACAUCGAAUUCACUUAAACUUCACAUUGAUUACAUCGAAAGUGGUAUAAAAGUGUUUUUGAACUCGGAACAUGGAACUACAAUGCCUGCAAGAGGCGUUGAAAGUCGAGAUCCAAUGUCAUCAGAAACUAGUUGCACAGAUGAAGCAAGACCCGCAGGAUGGAGAGCUUAAGAAACAACUACACGAGAGACACGACAGAAUAACAGCUCUAAGCGAAAAACAAGUAAGA